rnacentral:rRNA from 1 species
GAUGAACGCUAGCGGCAGGCCUAAUACGUGCAAGUCGAACGGUGUCUUCGGACAUAGUGGCGCACGGGUGCGUAACACGUAUGCAACCUACCUUACAUUGGGGGAUAGCCUUUCGAAAGGGAGAUUAAUACCGCAUAAGACAGUAGCUGGGCAUCCAGCAGCUGUUAAAGAUUUAUCGAUGUAAGCUGGGCAUGCGUCCAAUUAGCUAGUUGGUGAGGUAACGGCUCACCAAGGCAAUGAUUGGUAGGGGAACUGAGAGGUCAAUCCCCCACACUGGCACUGAGAUACGGGCCAGACUCCUACGGGAGGCAGCAGUAGGGAAUAUUGGGCAAUGGACGCAAGUCUGACCCAGCCAUGCCGCGUGCAGGAUGAAGGCGUUAUGCGUUGUAAACUGCUUUUAUACAGGAAGAAACGACUCUUGCGAGAGGCAUUGACGGUACUGUAUGAAUAAGCACCGGCUAACUCCGUGCCAGCAGCCGCCGUAGCAC